rnacentral:misc_RNA from 1 species
GAUGAAGAACGUAGUGAAAUGCGAUAAGUAGUGUGAAUUGCAGAAUUCAGUGAAUCAUCGAAUCUUUGAACGCACAUUGCGCCCGCCAGUAUUCUGGCGGGCAUGCCUGUUCGAGCGUCAUUUCAACCCUCAAGACCCCUUCGGGGGACUUGGUGUUGGGGACCGGCACAGGGGCCUGCCUGCUUGUCUUGCAGCGCCCUCGCCGCCCCCGAAAUGAAUUGGCGGCCUCGUCGCGGCCUCCCCUGCGUAGUAGCACAACCUCGCAACGGGAACGUGACGGCGGCCACUGCCGUAAAACAACCCAAUUUUAUUAGAGUUGACCUCGAAUCAGGUAGGAAUACCCGCUGAACUUAAGCAUAUCAAUAAGCGGAGGA